rnacentral:rRNA from 1 species
UUUGAUCCUGGCUCAGAACGAACGCUGGCGGCGCGCCUAAUACAUGCAAGUCGAACGAGAAUGUGUAGCAAUACACAUGUACAGUGGCGAACGGGUGAGGACUACAUGGGUAACCUACCCUCGAGUGGGGAAUAACUAGCCGAAAGGUUAGCUAAUACCGCGUACGCUUCCCGGACUGCGGUUCGGGAAGGAAAGCGAUACCGUGGGUAUCGCGCUCUUGGAUGGGCUCAUGCCCUAUCAGCUUGUUGGUGAGGUAACGGCUCACCAAGGCUUCGACGGGUAGCUGAUCUGAGAGGAUGAUCAGCCACACUGGCACUGCGACACGGGCCAGACUCCUACGGGAGGCAGCAGUAAGGAAUAUUGCGCAAUGGGCGAAAGCCUGACGCAGCGACGCCGCGUGGGGGAUGAAGGUCUUCGGAUUGUAAACCCCUUUCGGGAGGGAAGAUGGAAUGGGGUAACCCAUUCGGACGGUACCUCCAGAAGCAGCCACGGCUAACUUCGUGCCAGCAGCCGCGGUAAUACGAAGGUGGCAAGCGUUGUUCGGAUUUACUGGGCGUACAGGGAGCGUAGGCGGUUGGAUAAGCCCUCCGUGAAAUCUCCAGGCUUAACCUGGAAAGUGCAGAGGGGACUGUUCAGCUAGAGGAUGGGAGAGGAGCGCGGAAUUCCCGGUGUAGCGGUGAAAUGCGCAGAGAUCGGGAGGAAGGNCGGUGGCGAANGCGGCGCUCUGGAACAUUUCUGACGCUGANGCUCGAAAGCGUGGGGAGCAAACAGGAU